rnacentral:rRNA from 1 species
UUGAUUACGUCCCUGCCCUUUGUACACACCGCCCGUCGCUGCCCGGGACUGAGCCAUUUCGAGAAACUCGGGGAUUGUUGGUCUGUCAGCCUCCGGGCUGCCGUUCCGGCGAGAACCGAUUUAAUCGCAGUGGCUUGAACCGGGCAAAAGUCGUAACAAGGUAGCUGUAGGUGAACCUGCUGCUGGAUCAUUACCCACUGAUCACAAUCACCAACUACCUGGUCGUCGAAUGCGUGUUGUGGGCGCACACUUCCCUCGCGGGUGUCCCAUUGCAUUUGGGUGCCUAAACGUCCGUGUUCGGUCUACGGAGGCGAAGCGUCCAGGCUGGUCUGCGGACUGGCUGCCACAGCACUGAACGGCCGAACGCCCUGUGGGCUUGCAUUGCAUGUGUGGGGUGUCUGUUUGGAAAGCACGGUGAGCGCACACUUCCCUCGCGGGCGUCCCAUUGCGUUGGGUGCCUAAACGUCCGUGUCCGGUCUACGGAGGUGAAGAGUCCAGGAGACCCUAUUGCGUACGGGGGAAUCCGCAUCGUGUGCUGGACGGGCACGCCUGCAGGGCACCGAACGGCUGCGUUGGCGUCUAUGCGUUGUUGAGCAGUUGUUGUGCACUUGUGCCUUGUGCGUUGGGUUGCAUGCCUUUGGAAACUUGCGCAUUGGUUCGCCUCCAUCGGUGUGUCCAGAGCACAGUCGCUUGUGUGCUACGUCCGUGGCUGCGAUGAGACAGCGUGACAGGGUUCGGCCAUGCGAGGCCGGGCCUAGACUUGAUGAGCCCCGAGCAUGUUGGGCCGCCAACACUUCUUUUUUCACUAAAUUUUUUUAUGUGUGCACAUGUGUGUGCAGUGAAAGUAAAUUCUAGCUUUAUCGGUGGAUCACUCGGCUCGU